GGGGGCGGAUGAGUCCCGGUGGGCUCCGCGGACUUCAAAUCCGUUUGCAGGGCACCUUAUGGUGUCCUGGGUGGGUUCGACACCCAUCCGCUCCCGCCA
rnacentral:tRNA from 1 species